CGAAGCGGCGGCGGCGGCGGCCGCCAUGCGGAAGUCGUGCCGGGUUCAACGCUGCUGCAGCGCCGCCGGGCAGCCCCGGGGCUCCGAGCGCCGCUUCAGCUUCUCCGAACCCCCUUUUCCUCCUUACUGAAGCCCCACGUCUACCCCUGGAGUCAUGCAGAAGGAUCUGGAUAUGUCCUGGAGGGAUUUGGGGGAGGCCAGGGAGCCCUGGACUCAUCCAGAAGAGUCUGGAGAUGUCCCAGAGGAGUCUUGGGGCAUUCAGGGAGUCCUCAUGUGGGUCUGGAGGGUUCUGGAUUCCUCAGACGGGUCUGGAGAUGCCCCGGAGGUGUUUUGGGGAGACCAGGGGGUCCUGGAGUCCUCCAGGAGUCUCAAAAACUGACAGUUCCCACCGAAAAAGCCCCCUAUGGCCACCAGGUGAUGUGGGGAAAACCGCAGGUGACACCGGGACAACUGCCUGCCCCCACAUUUGUCCCUGUCACCGUGGAACCUGGCGCCAUCCCAACCCUCAUCUAUGCUGAGAGCUCCGUCAGCAUCCUAAAGUUCCGGGAGCCGGGUGACGCCGUCUCCCUGACUCCCCCGGUGUCCCCAGCUGUUCUCCCUGCUGCGGUGGUGCAACUGGAGGGCUGUGACAUCCUCAUCAAAGAGGCCUGCCUCCAGCCGGACCUGGUAACACUGGAGCUCUCUGGCGCUGUCACCAUUAUGUGCCACAAGGAUGGGGACGUGGUGGUGUACUCUGCUGCCACCAGAGGGGACCGUGUGUGACAUCAGCGUGGAACAGCUGUCAUCGCUGCUGGGUGUUGCUUUUGUCAACAUGCAUGGGGUGUCACUGCUGGGGACACCUCUGUGUCACCCCUUCCAUGUCACACCCCAAAGUUGGAGGCACCCCUCUGCAGAUCCCCCGGUGUCCGUCCUUCUGACCGCAUUGUUCCCAUGCGGGGGUGGGUGGAGUUGAGGGGGGCACACACUUUAUUUUUGUAAAUAAGAUUUAUUUUGUGAUAAGGUGGACUGGGAGACGCCGCCCCCCCAGACCUCUGCAUGAAUAAAAGGCAGAGGAGCGGCUGUGGGGCUCUGCAUGUCACACCGGGGGGCACUCUGGG
rnacentral:lncRNA from 1 species